GUUAGUUGAUUUCUUUCAGCCAGUGAAAAUAUUGUGCUUCCUCGUGACCGCCAAUGUGUCCGAUGUGAAAUUUGCCAUCAUUAGCACUGAUUCUUUCCCCUCAUAGAGAAGUGUUCAUUUCCUGCAGCACUCUUGAGAAGCAACCACAGUCCGAAGCCCAUCAUCUUACACAAAGGAUCUAUACUGCAGAGGUGGCACACCAUCUACCUGUGUUAUAAAAAUGGUACCAGUUUAGAGCAUGCACAUUACUUCAGGAAAAUAAAGUUCGGGUCACUGUAUUGUCUGAGCACCUUUGGUUAAGGUGAGUUCUCUCUCUCUCAAAAUGAAAUCAUAAGGCUAGAAAUUAGAAAAACAAGAGACAUAAUACACUAAGUAUUUAAAACUAAUACAUAGAUUUGUUUUCGUGAAAGAGAAAGUCAUUCUUAUUUGUGAACCAGAAUGAGCAUGCUUUUGAUUUCUCUUAAAGAAAUGUCCCUCUCAAGUUGAAUUGCUAAGUAGAG
rnacentral:lncRNA from 1 species